rnacentral:rRNA from 1 species
AUGGACCUACGGGGGGCAGCAGUGGGGAAUAUUGCACAAUGGGGGAAACCCUGAUGCAGCGACGCCGCGUGAGUGAAGAAGUAUUUCGGUACGUAAAGCUCUAUCAGCAGGGAAGAAGGAGGACGGUACCUGACUAAGAAGCCCCGGCUAACUACGUGCCAGCAGCCGCGGUAAUACGUAGGGGGCAAGCGUUAUCCGGAUUUACUGGGUGUAAAGGGGGCGCAGACGGCAGCGCAAGCCAGGAGUGAAAGCCCGGGGCCCAACCCCGGGACUGCUCUUGGAACUGCGCGGCUGGCGUGCAGGAG